UGUAAUGCCAAUUGCCUUGUGAUUUUUAUUUUUUUUUUUUAAGUAAAAGGCAGAUAUCACUGGCAGGUGUCCAGAAACUCCUUCCAACACUAUUAACUUAUCUGUAUCAGUUCUGCAGCCCACCUCCUGUCAGCGCUGCUCAUAGGGCCAUCAGGAGAGUACUGUGGUGGUGUUGGGUCACUCGCUUCUCAGCCAUCAGAUCACAAAAAGAGGUUGCUAUUUUUUGAGAGUGAGAGUAAAUUGGAGAAAAAUCAGUGGGUCCAUGUCUGACCGCUGACCAAAUCAAAGCCUCACUUCAGAGUGGGAAGCAUCAAAGAGGGUUUUAAGUACUGAAUAUUUGUCACUGACUUUGCAGGCUCCAUUGCUUUUACCCCUAAUCUUCCUCACUUGCUCAUGCUGUGCAUGCAGAGGCAGGGAGGGAUGAUAAUGGACUUGCAGUUGUACUUGCUGUUCCCAUAACAAAUGGCAGGAUCUUCACAUAAAUUGUUUGAACAUGUAACACUGCUCUUAUUUCUUAACGAUAAGGGCUUAGGAGCUGCCCUUUUCCAAAAUGAAAGAAAUGAACCAAACGUUAUCUCUUUGUUUUAAAAAAUGAUCCCUGCAACUACAACAACAAAAAGCCAUUAUGAUGAUCUGUAAAGGUCUUGCAAGCUUUUACAGGAGAGAUUUUCCGCUCACCCGGUCUGGCUUCGCUCCCGUUCCCUCUCCCUAUUCCCAACCCACGUGGUUCAAGCUUUCUAGGGCAGUUUAAGCUCCUAGAUACAGCUGAGCUGAAUGAACCUGGCCUGGAGGACAUGUCAGAGGUCAGACCAGGGGGGAGAGGAAUGCCCUCUGGAUACUGUGCCUAAAACUAAGUUCUUUAGAUCUUGCUCUGGUCCUAAGUGCAUCCAUCGUCAAUUAUAUAUCUAUACUCACUGUUUAAACAGGUUUCUUGUUUACCAUGAAAUAUUUGCUUCAAGGCUCUGCAUCUGUUGUAGCAGUGUCUAUUGCUUAUGCCAAGGGAAAAAAUGUCACCAUAACUUUUCAGUGUUAUGGCCCAGAUCUAUCUGUGGUGGCUGGUGUUGGACCUCUGGUUUCAUGGUGAGCUGCUUGCUGACUGUCCUGGACCAGUGGACAGAUUAAGGGAGAGAGUGGAUCCCAGAUUCCAUCUGGGGCUUGUUCCAAGUUCUCUCCCGCUCCAAGGAAAUGGUGGGCAGCUUGGAGAGGAGCUGCCAAAUUCAAAUGAUGUCUCUAACUCUGCAGUUCCCAGAUGAGCUCUCACCAGACUAGGUUUCACACCACCUGCAUGAGGCCCUUCUGCUGCCAGCUGAGCUGGACCACACGAGAGACAACUCCCUGGGCCUCUGGAACCUGUGCUUUCCAUUCUGGCAAGGGAAUAAGGUCAGCGGACAGGCCUGCUUGUUGUGACAUUCAUUCUUCUAACUCUAUUUG